rnacentral:misc_RNA from 1 species
ACCCUUGUGGAGGAGGACGCCGAAGGUGGGGCUAAUGACUGGGGUGAAGUCGUAACAAGGUAGCCGUACCGGAAGGUGCGGCUGGAUCACCUCCUAACAGGGAGACAACAAAAUGUUUAAUAUUAUUAUUUUGUCACCUUAGGUCGAUCGGUAUCUCACGUUCUUAAUUUAUUAAGAAUUUCAUUUCCUAAGUUUUUCUAGGUCACACCCAUUAUUUUUCCUGGGCCAUUAGCUCAGGUGGUUAGAGCGCACCCCUGAUAAGGGUGAGGUCCCUGGUUCAAGUCCAGGAUGGCCCAUAUCUCUAUGUUGGGGGUAUAGCUCAGUUGGUAGAGCGCCUGCUUUGCAAGCAGGAUGUCAGCGGUUCGAGUCCGCUUACCUCCACUGAUUACCACCUCUUCCAUAACCGGUAGAAAGGAAAUGUUUUGAGUUGUGAUUAUUAUUCUGAACGAAUCUAGCUUCCUAAUGAAAUCAUUAAGAUGCUGGACUCAUUGAAUUAAUUUCAUUGUUUUCAGAGAACCUUGACAACUGCAUAGAUUAUUUUUAAAGACAAUAAGCAUCUUUAAUGAUGCAGAUUUAUUAUUUGUGCGAAUGCAUUAAUAACAAUUCUAUUGAGCUGAUGCUUCAAUUUUUGAAGUUAUUGGUCAAGCUACAAAGGGCUCACGGAGGAUACCUAGGCACACAGAGGCGAUGA